GACGAACGCUGGCGGCGUGCUUAACACAUGCAAGUCGGGCGGUAAGGCCCUUUCGGGGGUACACGAGCGGCGAACGGGUGAGUAACACGUGGGUGACCUGCCCUCAGCUCUGGGAUAAGCCUGGGAAACCGGGUCUAAUACCGGAUAUGACUCCAUGACGCAUGUUGUGGGGUGGAAAGCCUUGUGCGGCUGAGGAUGGGCCCG
rnacentral:rRNA from 1 species